rnacentral:rRNA from 1 species
UACGUAGGGUCCGAGCGUUGUCCGGAGUUACUGGGCGUAAAGCGCGCGCAGGCGGCGGUGCUGGCCCGGCGUGAAAGCCCCCGGCUCAACCGGGGAGGGUCGUCGGGACCGCACCGCUUGAGGGCGGUAGGGGCUGGUGGAAUGCCUGGUGUAGUGGUGAAAUGCGUAGAGAUCAGGCGGAACACCCGUGGCGAAGGCAGGUCUCUGGGCCACUACUGACGCUGAGACGCGAAAGCGUGGGGAGCGAACAGG